rnacentral:rRNA from 1 species
GACGAACGCUGGCGGCGUGCCUAAUACAUGCAAGUCGAGCGGAUUUAUCCUUCGGGAUAAGUUAGCGGCGGACGGGUGAGUAACACGUAGGUAACCUGCCUAUAAGAUCGGGAUAACUAUCGGAAACGAUAGCUAAGACCGGAUAAUUGGUUCUCUCGCAUGAGAGAAUUAUGAAACACGGAGCAAUCUGUGGCUUAUAGAUGGGCCUGCGGCGCAUUAGCUAGUUGGUAGGGUAACGGCCUACCAAGGCGACGAUGCGUAGCCGACCUGAGAGGGUGAACGGCCACACUGGGACUGAGACACGGCCCAGACUCCUACGGGAGGCAGCAGUAGGGAAUCUUC